CAGCCGCCACGGGAAUACGUAGGUGGCAAGCGUUGUCCGGAAUUAUUGGGCGUAAAGGGCUCGCAGGCGGCUUCUUAAGUCUGAUGUGAAAGCCCCCGGCUCAACCGGGGAGGGUCAUUGGAGACUGGGAAACUUGAGUGCAGAAGAGGAGAGUGGAAUUCCACGUGUAGCGGUGAAAUGCGUAGAGAUGUGGAGGAACACCAGUGGCGAAGGCGACUCUCUGGUCUGUAACUGACGCUGAGGAGCGAAAGUGUGGGGAGCGAACAGGAUUAGAUACCCCUGUAGUCCCUGUCUCUUAUAC
rnacentral:rRNA from 1 species